rnacentral:rRNA from 1 species
AGUGAACGCUGGCGGUAGGCCUAACACAUGCAAGUCGAACGGCAGCACAGUAAGAGUUUGCUCUUACGGGUGGCGAGUGGCGGACGGGUGAGGAAUACAUCGGAAUCUACUUUUUCGUGGGUGACAACGUAGGGACACUUACGCUAAUACCGCAUAUGACCUACGGGUGAAAGCAGGGGAUCUUCGGACCUUGCGCGAUUGUAUGAGCCGAUGUCGGAUUAGCUAGUUGGCGGGGUAAAGGCCCACCAAGGCGACGAUCCGUAGCUGGUCUGAGAGGAUGAUCAGCCACACUGGAACUGAGACACGGUCCAGACUCCUACGGGAGGCAGCAGUGGGGAAUCUUGGGCAAUGGGCGCAAGCCUGAUCCAGCCAUACCGCGUGAGUGAAGAAGGCCUUCGGGUUGUAAAGCCCUUUUGUUGGGGAAGAAAAACAGCAGGUUAAUACCCCGCUGUUCUGACGGUACCCAAAGAAUAAGCACCGGCUAACUUCGUG